rnacentral:rRNA from 1 species
UACGGGGGGGGGCAAGCGUUGUUCGGAAUUACUGGGCGUAAAGGGCGCGUAGGCGGUUCGCUAAGUUGGAUGUGAAAACUCUGGGCUCAACCCAGAGCCUGCAUCCAAAACUGGCGGGCUAGAGUUCUGGAGGGGGUAGCGGAAUUCCUGGUGUAGCGGUGAAAUGCGUAGAUAUCAGGAGGAACACGGGUGGCGAAGGCGGCUACCUGGACAGAAACUGACGCUGAGGCGCGAAAGCUAGGGGAGCAAACAGG